rnacentral:lncRNA from 1 species
GCAGCUGACCUUGAGGUUAAGCGGAAUGUACCGGAUUUCAAAGCUGACAAGCUGGAUACAGUGAAGAAUACAGUUACUGGUUUGGAAGUUGACAAUGUGGGUACUCUGAACAAGAGCUUCAACAAUAACUCAGUGAAAACAAACUCCCCAGAAAAGGUUGAGCCUACAUCUUUUGCAAACGAGAAGGAGUUGUAUGUGGCUGAUAAGGAGAAGGAGUUAUCUGUGGCUGCUUUUAGGGUUCUUCUCAGCAAAAGAGAGAGAUUGGUAUCACUAAUUUGGCUUUUAAGUUUUAAAAUGUGAUUUCUGUCCCUUGCUUUUCUUUUUAUUCAGAUCGGUUAUUCUUUUAGUUUAGUAGUGUCACUGUAUCCAUUAUUUAGGAAUUGCUCCCCAUAUGCAUGUUUUCUAAAAUUUAAUUGAAGUACAUUAUGC